rnacentral:rRNA from 1 species
AGAGACAGCAGCCGCCGCGGGAAAACAGAGGGUGCGAGCGUUAAUCGGAUUUACUGGGCGUAAAGCGUGCGUAGGCGGCUUCUUAAGUCGGAUGUGAAAUCCCUGAGCUUAACUUAGUAAUUGCAUUCGAUACUGGGAAGCUAGAGUAUGGGAGAGGAUGGUAGAAUUCCAGGUGUAGCGGUGAAAUGCGUAGAGAUCUGGAGGAAUACCGAUGGCGAAGGCAGCCAUCUGGCCUAAUACUGACGCUGAGGUACGAAAGCAUGGGGAGCAAACAGGAUUAGAUACCCCUGUAGUCCCUGUCUCUUAUAC